AAUUAUACUAUUUCGAAAUUCAAACCCUAAACCCUAAAACUUAACUCUAAACCCUAAACCAUCAAUCCUAAACCUUAUUUUUUUGAAAUACGAACCCUAAACCAUCAAUCAUAAACCCUAUUUUUUUUAAAUACGAACCCUAAACCCUGAAACAUCAACUCUAAACCCUAAACCUCGAAACAUCAACUCUAAACCCUAAACCCUAAACCUUCAACUCUAAACCCUAAAACAUCAACUCUAAACCCUAAACCCUAAACUUCAACUCUAAACCCUAAACCAUCAACACUAAACCCUAAACUAUCAACACUAAAUCCUAAACCCAAAAAAGUAAACUAUAAACCCUAAACCCUAAAAAAUUAACCCUAAACCCUAAAACAUCAACUCUAAACCCUAAACCCUAAACCCUAAACCCUAAACCUUCAACUCUAAAUCCUAAACUCUAAAUCCUAAAUUC
rnacentral:lncRNA from 1 species